UACGGAGGGGGCUAGCGUUGUUCGGAAUUACUGGGCGUAAAGCGCGCGUAGGCGGACCUGCAAGUCGGGGGUGAAAGCCCGAGGCUCAACCUCGGAACUGCCUUCGAUACUGCGGGUCUCGAGUCCGGGAGAGGUGAGUGGAAUCCUAGUGUAGAGGUGAAAUUCGUAGAUAUUAGGAAGAACACCAGUGGCGAAGGCGGCUCACUGGCCCGGUACUGACGCUGAGGCGCGAAAGCGUGGGGAGCGAACGGGG
rnacentral:rRNA from 1 species